AAUCAACGCUGGCGGCGUGCCUCAGACAUGCAAGUCGAACGCGAAAGUUUCCUUCGGGAAGCGAGUAGAGUGGCGCACGGGUGAGUAACACGUAAGUAAUCUACCUCGGGGUGGGGAAUAACCAUCGGGAAACCGAUGCUAAUACCGCAUAAUGCAGACGGCUUCUUAUGAAGACAGUUGUUAAAGCAUUUAUGUGCCUGGAGAGGAGCUUGCGGCAGAUUAGCUAGUUGGUAAGGUAAUGGCUUACCAAGGCGACGAUCUGUAUCCGACCUGAGAGGGUGGUCGGACACACUGACACUGAAUAACGGGUCAGACUCCUACGGGAGGCAGCAGUCGGGAAUUUUGGG
rnacentral:rRNA from 1 species